UGCAUCAGUGAUGACAACUUGGCUCCCUCUACUGAAAGCUGUGAGGAAAUGCCUUUGUUACCCAAUUCUUGUCUGAGAUGCG
ensembl:snoRNA small nucleolar RNA, C/D box 100